CUGGGGUGCGUUUUUUUCCUUUUAAAGAUGUGAUGGUUACGCAAUUAAUAAUUCCUAUUUCUGAGGACGCACCUCUUCGCUAUUUGGAAAAAGGCUUAAAAGCCGCAGGGGGAGCUCGCUAAACACUUCUUGGAAGGGUAUCAGCCCCCCCCCAAAGCAUUUGCCCUAUAAAACACCUGGAUGCUGGCAACUUUCAGUCAGGAGUCAAAUAGAAGUAGAAAAACCUCACUAUUUUCUUUACCCCACAAGAUGAAGGGCAGCACCAGCCCAAAAGAGACACUCGAAGAUCAGAAAAACUACAAAACCACGGGAGGGUAUCUUUUGGGGGCCUGGCCCUUCUGAACCUUCGGGGUGCUUCAGCCGGCGUGCUCUUUGUGGUAUCAGGGGAAGGCACCAGCCCUUGUGGCUGGUCAGUGAGGAUUUGUGUGUUGCGUGAUUGGCAUUUGUGAAGCCGAGGAAGCAGGUUGUAGGAUGGAAAAAAAAGGCUAUCGCAUCUUUUAAAAGAGAAGCGCAAAAGGGGAAGUGGCAAAGGAACUCCCCCCCCCAAUCCGAGCAGCUCGUUCUGAAUGGCUCUUUCAGAGGAAGCUUGAACAGAAAACUUCCAUUAUUUUACAAUGGAGUCUGCUAGAUCUCAAAGAACAACUCCAAUGAGGAUGUUGCUGGAAGUUUUGGGACAAGAGCCAGUGAAAUGGAAGAGGCCACCCACAUUGUUCCCAUGGAUGUUCUCACCAGAGGGGCCAGCCUCCCCGUCAUGUUUUCCCCAAUAAAAGGGAUGGGAAUUAAUCGGGGAAAACAACCCUCGGCUCCACCCUAUUUCUAUUUUUGAUCUGGGCUAGAAAAUCCAGAGGAGAGCUGUGAAAUAAACAACAAUGCUGAAUUACACUUCGCUUUCAGAGAUUAAGAAAGGCGGGUACUUUUAAUAGCAAAGCUCCAUUCAGAAUCCCAGGGACCUGUUUAUGAAAUAGAAAAAGUUGUUGUUCAGACUCUCUGGGGCCUAACAGAGUCCUUUCGACAAAUCAAUUUGUCCAAGAAACGGGGGAUCUUCUUCUCCAGAGGUUCCUUGGCAUUGUGUGACCCAAUGAUUUAAGCUUUAGCCUCACUAGAACGUCCAAGAAAGGGGUUUGGCUUUACUGCAUUUCAGCUACUCUUGAAUGGUUUGUUCUUUCUGAAGUUCAACUUUUUUUUUUUCCCAAGCCCUAAAAUCGGACAUCAGUUCUUCCGUUUGGUUUGGCUGACUGCCACUGAGUGUGGGUUUUUUUUUUCCUUUUCAUUUACACCUUCAGCUGACUCUUCCUACCGUGAAUUGGGUGUGUGAGCACAUGAAUAGCAAGCAGAAAGGGGAAAUGGUUAUCUUGCAAUUGUUGCUGCAGUUCCUUAAUAUGGUUUCCUUCUAUUCAUGAGGGUGAACACCGCCCACUGUCGCUCCAGUCAAAUCUUUUUCUGAGCUGUAGCAAAAGUAACCUUUAUUUUCUCUAAAAGGUGAACCAAGAAUGAAGCCCCACUGACUGGCAUUCGGCAAAGGUGUUUUCUCCUUUAAAAAAGUAUGACCUUUGCUAGAAAAAAGUCACAGCAUCACACCCAACAGUGAUUUCCAACACACCCAUCUGCUUAUUGCAAAACUGAGAAAUUUAUAAAUAUCAGAUCAGAGGAAAAAGCACAAGUCUGUCAGUUACACCAAGGAACGGUAAAAGCUCCAGGGGAAAAAAAAAAGUUCAAAGAACCCUCAUUGGAUUAAAAAUCUGCCGAUACACGAACUUUUUGUGGUUAAUUCCCAAAAGAACAGUUUGCAAUAUUCAGACAAAUACAUUCCUCUGCUUCAUCAAAGCAGGACAUUUUAAGAAGUCGGGGGGGGGGGGCUGGCCCGAAGUGUAACAUUACCGACAACUUGAACAGUUAAGGGUUAAAUUAAUUUAAUUAGGGUGGACAUUCAAGCACAUAUAUUAAACACUUCAUUGCUAGAUUGCAAAACAGUGAUUCUGCUUGGGAGGAGUGUGGGCAGGGUAGGAAUGAGUAAGGCCUCCUGUGUUGCUGGCAAGCGUGGGCUUUUAUUAAAGUCAAGGUCUUCAGAGUAAACAUCUGUUCCCUUUCUUCCUACCAGAAAAAGAGGAGUUAGCCCAGCAGUCUAGCAGCCAAGAGGAUGUAGGAUGAAAACAGAUCUCACAUGGUUUGUGACUGGUCCUUCUGAUCUGCCAGGAAGUCAGAAGGGAUCCAGGAUCAGGGCCCUACUGAAAUAUAAAAUGCCAGCGUUUCUUCUGGAUGUGCUCAGGAAAGAGAUUCACAGCCACUGGGAGUUUGAGUCAAGUUCUAUUCCAAGGGGACAGAGGAACAAGGACAGGCCUCACUUGGGAGUCUGUUUGCUGCUCGGAUGAAAAUGGGGAACCACGGCUGACACGCGUACAGUGCAUUGGUGUUUAUAAACAGAACUUUGGGGAAGUGCCAUUUUGCAUAUUUCUAAGGAAACGUUUUGCAUACUCUGCCAAAAAAACCCACACAAGGCAAUACAAUAGGUUAAUUCUAUUAGCCCCUAUGAAAAUACUUGCCUAGCCUUCUCUCAGUUUUACUUCCUAAGCCGCCUUUCCUGCAUAAAAUAGUUAAUGUCCUUGCACCUCACUGUAAUCUCUCUUUCACCACCUCAGUGCCCACAGAACAGAAAUUCGGAAACCAUGAGGUGUGCAAGUCCCAGAUCAGACAGCCCUGGGACCCAGCCCAGGAUUCAGAGCCCCCUGAAGGAAGAAACAAGGCUUAGUCCCAAUUCCUGAAGCUGGCUAGUUCUACCCCUUAAGAAGGAAGAUUGUGGUCUCUGGCCUGGCCUCUACAUUUCCCCACUAAAAAGACAAAAGCAAGGCCAGGCUUCCAAGCCUCAUCUACCAAGGAAUCGCCUGGCUACGUUAAAGGAGAGAGAAAAAAUAACGAACAGGGGACAAUCAUUCAGUCACAAGAUGAAAACAAACAUUUCAGGUUUCUGUAUUAACAGAAGGACCUCACGUUGCAAGAAUCAGUGAAUGGGUUUUAUUAGACAGUUUAUGUAAACAAGCAGGUCUGCCAGCACCACGCCAAGUUUUUUUUUUUUUUUUUUUUUAACCUCUGCCCUUAUUUGGUCUAGAACAGGGGUGUCCAACUUUGGCCACUGUAAGACUUGUGGACUUCAACUCCCAGAAUUCCCCAGCCAGCUGUGCUGGCUGGACAAUUCUGGGAGUUGAAGUCCACGGUUCUUAAGGGGGCCAUGGCUGGAUACUCCUGUUCUAGACUGCUGCACAGGGAAAGCUAAAAGCAAUCUAGAUUGCAAAUUAAAACUCCUGCUCCUAUUAACUGAAGCCAUUCUCCUGAAUAAAAAGAAAAAAAAAUCAAGGAAAUUCAGCUUAUGAACUGUUUCAUCCUCAAGGGUUUAGAAAAGGCCAUCAGGCACCCUCCAGGCUGAAAACCUCUGGAGGGCGCCCAGGAGGCUGCUCACAUUAGUGUGUGUGUGUGUGUGUGUGUACCACGUUAUAUCCCACACUGCUAAUUCACACAAGUUAUUUUGCUUUCUUUCAGGAUAAGUGACAUUCAUGUGCAAGUUUAGCUUUUUUUUUUUUUUUUAAAA